rnacentral:rRNA from 1 species
UCUCUCUGAAUCUGCGAACGGCUCCGCAAACCUGCUGUAACCCAAAGCGUGCUCCCGGUGCGCGGUGUGGGCUUGCCCCCGGUCGCUGCGCCGCUGCCAUAUGGUCAACCUUGGUAAUUCUGAGGCUAAUACAUGCGAUACCCACACCCUUUGCUGGGCGGCCUCGGCUGCUCGGCUGGGCGUGCGGACAAAAGAUCUAAUCCGCAACACGCCACGAAUGGACGCACGCUCUGACCGCAUACGUUGGUUGGGCCCUCGCGGGCCUGGCUUCCGGCGGUACAUGCAGCGGGCUCCAGACCUAUCAACCAGACGGCAGCUUACCGGACAUGCCACGGUAGCAACGGGUACAGAGGAUUAGAGUUCGAUCCUGGAGAGUGGGCCUGAGAGAUU